UGGGGAAUAUUGCACAAUGGGGGGAACCCUGAUGCAGCGACGCCGCGUGGGUGAAGAAGUAUUUCGGUAUGUAAAGCCCUAUCAGCAGGGAAGAAAAAUGACGGUACCUGACUAAGAAGCACCGGCUAAAUACGUGCCAGCAGCCGCGGUAAUACGUAUGGUGCAAGCGUUAUCCGGAUUUACUGGGUGUAAAGGGAGCGCAGGCGGCACGCUAAGCCUGAUGUGAAAACCCGCGGCUCAACCGCGGGAGUGCAUUGGGAACUGGCGGGCUGGAGUACCGGAGGGGCAGGCGGAAUUCCUAGUGUAGCGGUGAAAUGCGUAGAUAUUAGGAGGAACACCAGUGGCGAAGGCGGCCUGCUGGACGGAGACUGACGCUGAGGCUCGAAAGCGUGGGGAGCAA
rnacentral:rRNA from 1 species